CGUUGUCGGGGAGGCCAGGGAUCCACAGCCCAUACCACUUACCCUGGCUUGACUGGAGAAGAGUGAAGGACCUCCUAUCCCCUCUGGUGUUGCUGAGAUGCUGAGAAAUGACGCAGGAGUCACCCCUUCCUUCCCCCAGCAGGAGACAGAGAGAGUCUGUUCACAGCUAUGAAAACACAGACUGGAGGAGACUCAGUUCUUCCUUGGGGAUAGGAGGGAAAGGCCAGUGAAGAUCCUCCAAAGAAGUGACAACUGAACUAAUUAUGAAAGCCACAUACAGAGAGAGAGAGAGGCAGAGACACAGGCAGAGGGAGAAGCAGGCUCCAUGCACCGGGAGCCCGACGUGGGAUUCGAUCCCGGGUCUCCAGGAUCGCACCCUGGGCCAAAGGCAGGCGCCAAACCGCUGCGCCAUCCAGGGAUCCCGGCAUAAUAGGUUUUGAUCUAGUAUUUCCAAUCGUGAGAAUUUUUGCCAAGGAUCUAAUGGGUCAAAUUCACAGAGAAGUAUGUAUAAGGUUCUUCAUUUACACACUGUUGAUAACUGUGAAAAUUUGGAAACAACUUAAAUAUUGGUUACCUAAAUUAUGAUAUAUCCUACACAGCCAGUUAAAAUAAUGACACACAACCAUGCUGUUACUGUAUUUGCUGACUGUCCCAGGGAUUUGUGCUUGCUGACGGCCCCAGCAGUGGUUAAGUGUGUGCCUGUUGCUCCAUCCUCACCAACACCAGGGGGUGUCAUCUACAUGCUUACUCUUUAGAGCUGUUUUUUAUCUGCUGAAUAGGCACAUGCCACUGGCCUCAGCUAUGCAUGGUUUGCCCUUCAGAGUCCUCUAAAUAUCCCGCAGAAACAACUGAUAGUCUAAAGGAGGGAACCUGAGCAUCUGAUCUGCAGAGCAGAGAUACUUCAGGAGGUCCCCGCAUCCCCCAGAAUUGCAGCCUUAGUGUUGGUAUUGCUGUGAAUCAUUGACCAAUGACAGGAUAUUGCAUCCAUUGCAGAAGUUGGUGGUAUUUCCAUCUUCACCUCCAGAGUGAGCUGUGGAAAUUGGUUGAAUGCAGGCUGGGGAAACUGAAGCGGCUACAUAAAUGCUGCAAUCGUUAAGCUUUGGAGACUGUAACAUUCUGCUUGUGGCCUUGGGGCUGGAAGGCCUGCUGGUGCACCUGGUAAGGACUUCACUGUCAUCCAACUACAGUAACUCAAGAUUAAGGACGUGUUUGGUUUUGAUCUUGUUCAUAUUGAGAUUCAGCUGAGGCCGAUUACCCCUAAAAUUCCCCAGAGAGAACUGGGAAGUAAGAAGGAUCUUCAACACCCUCACGGAGUGCUAGAGACAAGACCCUACAAGGGGAACCGCCACGGGGCAACUCAAGAUUCAUAUGCACUGUUGCCAUUGGUUGAUAGGUGAAGAGGACAGCUGUUUGUGUACUCUGAACAGAUUGUCUGGGGAGGAGACUUAGGUAGCUUCACUUCUCAAAAAGAUGACUCGGCUUGGAAUACAAUUAAGAGUGAUCAUCUCUGAGAGAUUUUUCUUGCUUUUUUUAUUUUCUUCUUUAACCUGAGUUGCCCUGGCUCACAAAAUAAAGAUGGCGCUUCCAUAAUAA